UACGUAGGCAGCAAGCGUUGUUCGGAGUUACUGGGCGUAAAGGGUGCGUAGGUGGCUCUAUAAGUAUGGUGUGAAAUCUCCCGCUUAACUGGGAGGGUGCGCCGUAGACUGUGGGGCUAGAGUGUGGGAGAGGAAAGUGGAAUUCCUGGUGUAGCGGUGAAAUGCGUAGAUAUCAGGAGGAACACCGGUGGUGUAAACGGCUUUCUGGACCAUAAACUGACACUGAGGCACGAAAGCGUGGGUAGCAAACAGG
rnacentral:rRNA from 1 species